rnacentral:rRNA from 1 species
ACUCCUACGGGAGGCAGCAGUGGGGAAUAUUGCACAAUGGGGGAAACCCUGAUGCAGCCAUGCCGCGUGUGUGAAGAAGGCCUUCGGGUUGUAAAGCACUUUCAGUAGGGAGGAAGGUAGUGUAGUUAACACCUGCACUAUUUGACGUUACCUACAGAAGAAGCACCGGCUAACUCCGUGCCAGCAGCCGCGGUAAUACGGAGGGUGCGAGCGUUAAUCGGAAUUACUGGGCGUAAAGCGCAUGCAGGCGGCCUGUUAAGUCAGAUGUGAAAGCCCGGGGCUUAACCUCGGAAUUGCAUUUGAAACUGGCAGGCUAGAGUCUUGUAGAGGGGUUAGAAUUUCAGGUGUAGCGGUGAAAUGCGUAGAGAUCUGAAGGAAUACCAGUGGCGAAGGCGGCCCCUGGACAAAGACUGACGCUCAGAUGCGAAAGCGUGGGAGCAAACAGGAUUACGAUACCCGUGGUAGACUGUCA